AUUUAAAUAUUCAUGUGAUUUUUCUGUGUUAACUAAAUCUCAUGUUUCAACAUAAAAGAAAAACACACAGUAAUGCCUUUGCUUAAAUUGCUAAGUGUCAAGGAUUAGCUCGGUUGAGACACGAGUCUGCCCCUAAAUAAGAACACUUUGGUGUGCUGAUAACAAUUGAUAGAGUACAUGUGAAAAGCACCUAAAUCAAAUUCAAAUUCAAUUAUUAUUUUUAUUACUCGAAUUCGUUACACAUUAAAUUAAAAU
rnacentral:misc_RNA from 1 species